GGACGACGCUGGCGGCGUGCCUAACACAUGCAAGUCAAGGAGAAUUCCCGACUUGUCGGGAUAGUAAACUGGCGAACGGGUGAGUAACACGUAGGUAAUCUACCCUCGGGAUCGGGAUAACCUCGCGAAAGUGGGGAUAAUACCGAAUAAAGUCUCGGUAUAAUUUGUCGAGAUGAAAGAUGGGGAUCUUCGGACCUAUUACCUGAGGAUGAGCCUGCGCCUGAUUAGCUAGUUGGUAGGGUAAAUGCCUACCAAGGCAACGAUCAGUAGCUGGUCUGAGAGGAUGAUCAGCCACAUUGGGACUGAGAUACGGCCCAGACUCCUACGGGAGGCAGCAGUGAGGAAUUUUGCGCAAUGGGCGAAAGCCUGACGCAGCAACGCCGCGUGACUGAUUAAGCUCUGAGGAGUGUAAAAGUCUGUCGUAGAGGAAGAAACUAUCCGAUAAGAAUAUUGUCGGAUACUGACGGUACUCUAUGAGAAAGCUCCGGCUAACUCCGUG
rnacentral:rRNA from 1 species